GAGCGGAAGGGAAGGGGAGUGUCGGAGAGGCUGAAUAAGUUGUAAAGUGUCAGCAUAGGCGGCGCUCACAUCGCAUUUCCAAGCAUAUUUUCAUAUUGCCGUUCAGUUACGGCCUGUUCCCCAACCUCGCCGCUACGGUGCGUGUCCAACGCGACUCUGACUUGUUUACCUGCUACUGCCUCCGCACUUGUGCCCCUUUUAGAAGUGUAUUUUCCACUAAUUACUAUACUUUUCCGACUUCAAACCCGGUGAAUUGGAUUACGUCGUUCCAGUGCUGUGUUUCGUACUCUGUCAGUACUAUUUCCAAGUGUUUCGGAUUUUUCCUCCAAUCUUCUAAACGUGUUUCUGGAUCUACACAUUGUGUUUCACGUCUUCGACGUACUCUUUCGGUACUAUCGCUUCGAAUUCUUUGCUGGUGUCUUCGUUUUUUAAUCGUGUUUUCACGUUUGUGACGUACUCUGUCAGUACUAUUCGAGAGUGUGAUUUAAUAACCCAUUUUUCAUCUUUUCAACGUGUUUCUGGCACCACUUAAAGUGACAAGAUUAUCAAACCUUAACGUGUAUCGCCGACGUUAAAUUCGUUGAUCAGUUAGCCACCGGUGUAGAAUGUUGGAUGCUUUAUUAGUUAACCUCAAUUUUCCCGGUCAGUCAAAGUAAAACUAGUUGCUGGGUCGGGACAGCCCUUAUCCCUUCGAGUGAUUUGUUAAACGUUUCUAUCGAGCCUGGAGCUAUUCGUUUUCUGGAUGGAAACAUGAAUUUUGUCCUGUUCAGUGCGCGCGGUUUAUCAAUAGUGGUCCACGAAAUUAUGAAAUUGGUAUAAAAUGCCCGAGAAGCAAGUGUUUCACCCUUAUCAUCACCCCAACCCCGGAUUAGCGUUCUCGUCUGCUUUCGCGGCGUUUCCCGCCCCCAUCCCGUGGAUCAAAGAGCGCAUGAAGGAAGGUACAGCCUCUGGGAUCCCUCAGGGAGAGUUGGUCACCCAGGAGCGCCUCACGGAGCUUUUCACCAUCCCGCUGCCCACGGGUAAGAUCUCAAUCAUAGUUUUGCAGUUUGCUGAUCAGCG
rnacentral:lncRNA from 1 species